GCAUCCAUUGCACAACGGUAGCGCAUUUGACUUCAGAUCAGAAGGUUGCAUGUUCGAAUCACAUUGGGUUCG
rnacentral:tRNA from 1 species